GACGUAGGGCGCGAGCGUUGUCCGGAUUUAUUGGGCGUAAAGAGCUCGUAGGCGGCUUGUUGCGUCGGCUGUGAAAACCCAUGGCUUAACCGUGGGCUUGCAGCCGAUACGGGCAGGCUAGAGUUCGGUAGGGGAGACUGGAAUUCCUGGUGUAGCGGUGAAAUGCGCAGAUAUCAGGAGGAACACCGAUGGCGAAGGCAGGUCUCUGGGCCACUACUGACGCUGAGAAGCGAAAGCAUGGGGAGCGAACAGG
rnacentral:rRNA from 1 species